rnacentral:rRNA from 1 species
UACGUAGGGUGCAAGCGUUAAUCGGAAUUACUGGGCGUAAAGCGUGCGCAGGCGGUUCUAUAAGACAGAUGUGAAAUCCCCGGGCUCAACCUGGGAACUGUAUUUGUGACUGUAGAGCUGGAGUGCGGCAGAGGGGGAUGGGAUUCCGCGUGUAGCAGUGAAAUGCGUAGAUAUGCGGAGGAACACCGAUGGCGAAGGCAAUCCCCUGGGCCUGCACUGACGCUCAUGCACGAAAGCGUGGGGAGCAAACAGG